rnacentral:misc_RNA from 1 species
UACGGAGGGGGCAAGCGUUGUUCGGAAUUACUGGGCGUAAAGGGCGCGCAGGCGGCGUUGUCAGUCAGGUGUGAAAUCCCCGGGCUCAACCUGGGAAUGGCACUUGAUACUGCGAUGCUGGAGUUCGGGAGAGGGUAGUGGAAUUCCCAGUGUAGAGGUGAAAUUCGUAGAUAUUGGGAAGAACACCAGUGGCGAAGGCGGCUACCUGGCCCGAGACUGACGCUGAGGCGCGAAAGCGUGGGGAGCAAACAGG